GACGAACCGUGCGAACGUUAUUCGGAAUCACUGGGCUUAAAGCGCGUGUAGGCGGGGCGGAACGUCGGCCGCUGAAAUUCCCCGGCUCAACCGGGGAAGGGGCGCCGAUACGACCGCCCUGGAGCGACGUAGGGGGGACUGGAACUUCCGGUGGAGCGGUGAAAUGCGUUGAGAUCGGAAGGAACACCAAUAGCGAAGGCAGCUCGCUGGGACGGUACUGACGCUAAGGCGCGAAAGCGUGGGGAGCGAACAGG
rnacentral:rRNA from 1 species